rnacentral:rRNA from 1 species
UGGAUCCAGACUUUGAUCCUGGCUCAGGAUGAACGCUAGCGGCAGGCUUAACACAUGCAAGUCGAGGGGCAGCGCGGGAUAGCAAUAUCCUGGCGGCGACCGGCGGAAGGGUGCGUAACGCGUGAGCGACAUGCCCGUUGCCCGGGGACAACCGGUGGAAACGCCGACUAAUCCCCGAUGGGAUACGAUGCUGCAUGGCAUUGUAUUGAAAGUUACGGCGGCGACGGAUUGGCUCGCGUCCGAUUAGCUGGUUGGCGGGGUGACGGCCCACCAAGGCUACGAUCGGUAGGGGUUCUGAGAGGAAGGCCCCCCACAAUGGGACUGAGACACGGCCCAUACUCCUACGGGAGGCAGCAGUGAGGAAUAUUGGUCAAUGGGCGGAAGCCUGAACCAGCCAUGCCGCGUGCGGGAAGGAGGCCCUAUGGGCUGUGAACCGCUUUUGCCUGGGGGCAAUAAGGGCGUCGCGCACGUCCGAUGAGAGUACCAGGCGAAUAAGCAUCGGCUAACUCCGUGCCAGCAGCCGCGGUAAUACGGGGGAUGCGAGCGUUAUCCGGAUUCAUUGGGUUUAAAGGGUGCGUAGGCUGUGCGUCAAGUCGGGGGUGAAAUUCCGGUGCUCAACACCGGGGCUGCCCUUGAUACUGUCGCGCUGGAGUGCGGAUGCCGCCGGAGGAAUGAGUGGUGUAGCGGUGAAAUGCUUAGAUAUCACUCAGAACACCGAUUGCGAAGGCAUCUGGCGAAUCCGUAACUGACGCUGAGGCACGAAAGCGUGGGGAUAGAACAGGAUUAGAUACCCUGGUAUUCCACGCCGUAAACGAUGAUGGCUAACCGCCGGCGACACACUGUCGGUGGCCAAGCGAAAGCGAUAAGCCAUCCACCUGGGGAGUACGUCGGCAACGAUGCAACUCAAAUGAAUUGACGGA